GUCCCCUGAACCUUAUCAUUUARAGGAAGGAGAAGUAGUAACAAGGUUUCCGUAGGUGAACAUGCKGAAGGAUCAUUGUYGAU
rnacentral:rRNA from 1 species